rnacentral:rRNA from 2 species
UUGAUCCUGGCUCAGGCGAACGCUGGCGGCGUGCCUAAUACAUGCAAGUCGACCGAACUCUGGUAUUGAUUGGUGCUUGCAUCAUGAUUUACAUUUGAGUGAGUGGCGAACUGGUGAGUAACACGUGGGAAACCUGCCCAGAAGCGGGGGAUAACACCUGGAAACAGAUGCUAAUACCGCAUAACAACUUGGACCGCAUGGUCCGAGUUUGAAAGAUGGCUUCGGCUAUCACUUUUGGAUGGUCCCGCGGCGUAUUAGCUAGAUGGUGGGGUAACGGCUCACCAUGGCAUGAUACGUAGCCGACCUGAGAGGGUAAUCGGCCACAUUGGGACUGAGACACGGCCCAAACUCUACGGGAGGCAGCAGUAGGGAAUCUUCCACAAUGGACGAAAGUCUGAUGGAGCAACGCCGCGUGAGUGAAGAAGGGUUUCGGCUCGUAAAACUCUGUUGUUAAAGAAGAACAUAUGUGAGAGUAACUGUCAGGU